rnacentral:rRNA from 1 species
GAUGAACGCUAGCGGCAGGCCUAAUACAUGCAAGUCGAACGAGAUUACGAGGCUUGCUUCUUAUGAAAGUGGCGCACGGGUGCGUAACGCGUAUGCAACCUACCUUAAUCAGGGGGAUAGCCCGAAGAAAUUCGGAUUAAGACCGCAUAAAAACACAGGAUAGCAUUAUCCAAUGUUCAAAUAUUUAUAGGAUUAAGAUGGGCAUGCGUGUCAUUAGCUAGUUGGCGGGGUAACGGCCCACCAAGGCGACGAUGACUAGGGGAUCUGAGAGGAUGACCCCCCACACUGGUACUGGGACACGGACCAGACUCCUACGGGAGGCAGCAGUAAGGAAUAUUGGUCAAUGGAGGGAACUCUGAACCAGCCAUGCCGCGUGCAGGAAGACAGCCCUCUGGGUCGUAAACUGCUUUUAGUCGGGAAUAAACCUUUCUACGUGUAGGAAGCUGAAUGUACCGAAGGAAUAAGGAUCGGCUAACUCCGUG